AGCGAACGCUGGCGGCAGGCUUAACACAUGCAAGUCGAGCGCCCGGGCAACCGGGAGUGGCAGACGGGUGAGUAACACGUGGGAACGUACCCUUUGGUUCGGAAUAACUCAGGGAAACUUGAGCUAAUACCGGAUAAGCCCUUAUGGGGAAAGAUUUAUCGCCGAAGGAUCGGCCCGCGUCCGAUUAGCUAGUUGGUGAGGUAAUGGCUCACCAAGGCGACGAUCGGUAGCUGGUCUGAGAGGAUGAUCAGCCACACUGGGACUGAGACACGGCCCAGACUCCUACGGGAGGCAGCAGUGGGGAAUAUUGGACAAUGGGGGCAACCCUGAUCCAGCCAUGCCGCGUGAGUGAUGAAGGCCCUAGGGUUGUAAAGCUCUUUCGGCGGGGACGAUAAUGACGGUACCCGCAGAAGAAGCCCCGGCUAACUUCGUG
rnacentral:rRNA from 1 species